CAGCGACACCCGGGAGAAAGUGGAGGCCAUGAGUCUGGAGCAGGAGGAGGCCAAGAAGCAGGUGGUGGAGUUCCAGAAACAGUGCGACCAGUACUUAUCCAUCAUUUUAAAGCAAAAGGCGGAGGCUGAUGAACUGCAGAGGGUAGGUGUCGCCGAGACGUGUCGGUGAGCAAUUAUCCACCAGCAGAUGCUGUGAUAGGUGUGGUUUUGUUCAGAGGGUGGGUGAGAAUAGCGAGAAAAUCCGAGCGGAGGAGUAAAGCCGUGGCUGAUAAUGCGCAGAGGGAGCUGGACAAGGCCCUGCCUGCUCUGGAAGAGGCCCUGAAGGCCCAGGGGUCUCUGAAUAAGAAGGACAUGACAGAGAUCAAGUCUCACGGCCGUCCUCCAGCGCCGUUGGAGGCUGUGAUGCACGCCGACAUGACCCCGCUUGGCAACGAGCCGACCUGGGCCGAAGCCAAGAGACAGCUGGGUGAGAGGCGGCAACGGGGCAGAACUUAACACCGGCUGACCAGUUUGGAAAGAAGGAGUCCUGUAUUAGCGUGACCUCCGUCUCUCCAGGUGUAUGGAGGCAUCUACCAGGAUGUGGAGCCGAAGCGGGCGCUGCUGAACGCCGCCAUGAACCAGUUAGCAGAGAAGGAAGCUGCCCUGGUCGACACGCAGAGAAAAGGUUCAAGAGGUUGGAAUGAAAGAGGUUUUACUUUGACUCUCACACAUUUCAAAGGGACGUUUGGGGACAGGUGGCGGAUAAGCUGAACGAGCUUAAAAAGCAACACACAGAGAAGCUGGUCAUGAAGGAGGGCUUGAGAAAGAAAUCUCAGGAGAUGGAGCUGAAACUGUCCACUCCACAGAAAGGGUCCGCUGGGAGGAGAGUUACCGUAAGUGAAGUCUAACGUUGAAAAAGGAGUUGCUGCAGUUUGACACGUCUUACUGCACAAGGCCGAUUAGGAUGUAAAUGUAUAUUUCAACAGAUCAUUGAGGUCCAAUAAAGCUCAUGAGUAAACCUUUCAUCUAUUGUAGGCCUGUAAAACAUAUAAAUCACAUUGAAUGAAUCACAGACAGUAUAUGGAUGAAGGUAAUAGUGAUGUUUAAGGGCAACGUCAUUCUGAGAGUUACUGUGUACUGGCUCUGUUGUGAAGAUUUCAGCAACAUGCUACUUUUCCAAGUCACAGUCAGGUUUCAAGUCUCUAAUGAAAUGAGUAGACAUUUUCUCAUCAAGUCCAUGACAUGUAGUGCUCCUCUAACCCUGUAUUGCUGAAAGCCGGGAUACCAAACCUGUAAUGUUCGUCUUAUCCUAAAAUGAUCACAUUUACCUUGAAUAAUUAGCUUUUAAUAUUUUAACAUUUAAUUCAGCAUGGCACACAACUGCUGAAGGACGCUUUACUAUUUUCAACAACGCAAUUAAAAAUAUAUUUUAUCAAUCCCCAAGGCAAAUUUGAUUAAUUUAAAUUAGAUUUAUUGAUUUUAAAAUUUGAUAAUGUGUAAUAUUUACGCAGUCAGAAAUAUAGAUAGGGAUUCAUGCUCCAUUUAUGCUCUAUAUAUAAAAUGUUAUUUUUUUUGCAACUCAAUUCGCUGAGUUUUGUUGAUCAUAUUGAUUUUCCGCUUACAGCUAAUGAUAACAUAACAUUUAACAUUAGCGUAUUACAUCAGACCAAGAACAUUUUUAAUACAGAAAUAUAGGCUUAGAGAAAAGUAUGUUUAACAUCUGCUUACAGUUUUCUUUCUCAAAUGGUACUUUUUAAUCUGACAAAUGAGCCUCAUCGGAACGACUCUUCUAAUUUCUGGAAUAUCACUGCAUCUGUAGCCCAGCAUUUGGGUCACUUCCACAUAUUUGGCCGUAGCUGUAUCUCUUACUACUCUUCAGUGUGACAUAAAUGACUUCCUCUCUCCCCCCUUUUUAAGAUGGCCACUGAUAGCAGACCCUCAAGGCCAGGCUCUGAAGUGGAUCAAAAAUAUGGAAAUGGAAAAAAGACUACAUCCGGGUGCUAGAAAAUGCCAUCCAGUUUGGGGAUCCUGUUCUGCUGCAGAACGUCCAGGAGGAAAUAGAUCCUUCCCUCAACCCUGUUCUCGAUAAGUCCCUGACACGUAUAGGUGGCAGGCUGCUGUUGAAGCUCGGCGACAAGGAGUCGGAAUACAAUCCCGAGUUCAGAUUCUACAUCACCACCAAGCUGUCCAAUCGCCACUUUCUUCAAAGACCACCACAGUUACCUCCGCUGUCAAGGAGCAGGCUCCUGAACGAAGCCAGUGGCUCUCUGCUGGAUGACGCACCGCUGGUAAACACCCUGCAGGCUUCCAAAGUGACGGCCAGCAAAGUUUCAGAGCAGCUGGAGAGCAGCGAACAGGCCGAGCUGAAGAUCAACUCGGCCUGAGAGGUCAGGACGGGGGAAUGGUGUACAGACGAUGGAGAACUGAGACAAGGCGUAUCCGUCUCUGGAGGCCCCCUAGCAGCGUGGACGCGGGAUCUCUGCCAGAGAUGGGGACCGGUUCGCACGCUGGGCGGAGAAGGGCCAGCCUCCCGUCCUGUUCUGGCUGCCGGCGUCGUGCCAAACGACUUAUCCCCCGCCAGAGUUUGCAUCCCCUGCGUCGGGAGCGUGCUUG